rnacentral:tmRNA from 1 species
GGGGAUGAUCGGCUUCGAUGGGUUUUUGAAAACAAAGAAUCAAGCUGGAGACGCACGGUGUCUCCACAAAUCCUCCGUGCAAACCAAUAAGUGCAAACUUAUUCUCUAACUUCAACAGGCAGCCUGCUUUAGCAACUGCCUAAUGAAGUUCCCCGGCUUUACGUCGGGGCAUCGGCCAGCUUAUGCUCGUUCGGCUGAUUACCGGUGUUAUACUCCGAGCUACGCCCCGUGCCACAACUUGUUGUGAUUCGGGGUUGGCUUCUCUGACUGCUCGAUACGAGAAGCGACAUUAUCGGGUAAAAUAGUUCCGAUUAGUUGGAACAAAGCUUGUAUAAAUUCUUUGCUGGAUUAAAUCCAGACGGGGGUUCGAUUCCCCCCAUCUCCAUUA